UACGGGGGGGGCAAGCGUUGUUCGGAAUUACUGGGCGUAAAGGGCUCGUAGGCGGCCAACUAAGUCAGACGUGAAAUCCCUCGGCUUAACCGGGGAACUGCGUCUGAUACUGGAUGGCUAGAGGUUGGGAGAGGAUGUGGGAAUUCCUGGUGUAGCGGUGAAAUGCGUAGAUAUCAGGAGGAACACCGGUGGCGAAGGCGCACAUCUGGCCCAAUACUGACGCUAAAGCGCGAAAGCUAGGGGAGCAAACGGG
rnacentral:rRNA from 1 species